UCCGGUUUGUCACCGGCAGUCUCGCAUGAGUCCCCAACUGAAUGCCGGCAACAUGCGACGGGGGUUGCGCUCGUUGCGGGACUUAACCCAACACCUCACGGCACGAGCUGACGACAACCAUGCACCACCUGUAUAGGACGCCGAAGCACACCACAUCUCUGUGGUUUUUCCCUAUAUGUCAAGCCCAGGUAAGGUUCUUCGCGUUGCCUCGAAUUAAGCAACAUGCUCCGCCGCUUGUGCGGGCCCCCGUCAAUUCCUUUGAGUUUUAGCCUUGCGGCCGUACUCCCCAGGCGGGGCACUUAAUGCGUUAGCUACGGCACGGAACCCGUCGAUAGGGUCCCACACCUAGUGUCCAACGUUUACGGCGUGGACUAC
rnacentral:misc_RNA from 1 species